rnacentral:rRNA from 1 species
AUUGAACGCUGGCGGCAUGCCUUACACAUGCAAGUCGAACGGCAGCACGGGGGCAACCCUGGUGGCGAGUGGCGAACGGGUGAGUAAUAUAUCGGAACGUGCCCUAGAGUGGGGGAUAACGUAGCGAAAGUUACGCUAAUACCGCAUACGAUCUACGGAUGAAAGUGGGGGAUCGCAAGACCUCAUGCUCAUGGAGCGGCCGAUAUCUGAUUAGCUAGUUGGUAGGGUAAAAGCCUACCAAGGCAACGAUCAGUAGCUGGUCUGAGAGGACGACCAGCCACACUGGGACUGAGACACGGCCCAGACUCCUACGGGAGGCAGCAGUGGGGAAUUUUGGACAAUGGGGGCAACCCUGAUCCAGCAAUGCCGCGUGAGUGAAGGAGGCCUUCGGGUUGUAAAGCUCUUUUGUCAGGGAAGAAACGGUUCGAUCUAAUACAUUGGACUAAUGACGGUACCUGAAGAAUAAGCACCGGCUAACUACGUGC